CCCUUAGAUGUCCGGGACCACACGCGCGCUACACUGAAGGAAUCAGCGUGGCUUUCUCCCUGACCCGAAAGGGUUGGGAAACCCGUUGAAUCUCCUUCGUGAUAGGGAUUGGGGCUUGAAAUUGUUCCCCAUGAACGAGGAAUUCCCAGUAAGCGCGAGUCAUAAGCUCGCGUUGAUUACGUCCCUGCCCUUUGUACACACCGCCCGUCGCUACUACCGAUUGAACGGUUUAGUGAGGGCCUCGGAUUGGUCUCGGCCCGCUCUUUACCGGGCGGCGCCGUUGGUCGAGAAGACGCUCGAACUUGAUCGUUUAGAGGAAGUAAAAGUCGUAACA
rnacentral:rRNA from 1 species